rnacentral:tRNA from 1 species
CGGAGAGUAGUAUACUGGCAGUACGUCUGCUUUGGGAGCAGAUAGACCGGGUUCGAUUCCCGGCUCUCCGACCA